rnacentral:rRNA from 1 species
GAUGAACGCUGGCGGCGUGCCUAAUACAUGCAAGUCGAGCGAACAGAUGAGGAGCUUGCUCCUCUGACGUUAGCGGCGGACGGGUGAGUAACACGUGGAUAACCUACCUAUAAUACUGGGAUAACUUCGGGAAACCGGAGCUAAUACCGGAUAAUAUAUUGAACCGCAUGGUUCAAUAGUGAAAGACGGUUUUGCUGUCACUUAUAGAUGGAUCCGCGCCGCAUUAGCUAGUUGGUAAGGUAACGGCUUACGAAGGCAACGAUGCGUAGCCGACCUGAGAGGGUGAUCGGCCACACUGGAACUGAGACACGGUCCAGACUCCUACGGGAGGCAGCAGUAGGGAAUCGUCCGCAAUGGGCGAAAGCCUGACGGAGCAACGCCGCGUGAGUGAUGAAGGUCUUCGGAUCGUAAAACUCUGUUAUUAGGGAAGAACCAAUGUGUAAGUAACUAUGCACGUCUUGACGGUACCUAAUCAGAAAGCAACGGCUAACUACGUG